GCCCGGGUGGCUUAGCUGGUCAUAGCGCCGCACUCAUAGGGUUUCAAUCGACGCGGCACACUCCGGCAUUCCCGCGGGGCUUGCCUCGUACCUGGGACAUGCGGAGAUCGAGGGUUCGGAGCCCUCCCCGGGCA
rnacentral:tRNA from 1 species